AGAGCGAACGCUGGCGGCAGGCCUAACACAUGCAAGUCGAGCGCCCCGCAAGGGGAGCGGCAGACGGGAGAGUAACACGUGGGAACGUACCCUUCAGUUCGGAGCAACCAAGGGAAACUUUGGCUAAUACCGAAUACGUCCGUAAGGAGAAAGAUUUAUCGCUGAAGGAUCGGCCCGCGUCUGAUUAGCUAGUUGGUGGGGUAAUGGCCCACCAAGGCGACGAUCAGUAGCUGGUCUGAGAGGAUGAUCAGCCUCACUGGGACUGAGACACGGCCCAGACUCCUACGGGAGCAGCAGUGGGGAAUAUUGGACAAUGGGCGCAAGCCUGAUCCAGCCAUGCCGCGUGGAUGAUGAAGGCCCUAGGGUUGUAAAGUCCUUUCGGCGGGGAAGAGUAAUGACGGUACCCGCAGAAGAACGCCCCGGCUAACGUUCGUGCCAGCAGCCGC
rnacentral:rRNA from 1 species